GAUGGGUAUAGGAUGUACCCAAGAAAAGACAAUUCACUUGGCUGACCUAAGCAGAAGUAUUGGCUUGGGUCUCUGAAAGGAGUUCUUUCUUACUGCUGAUGCAGCUUUAUAGCCUGCAGCAAGAAGACAGUCAAUAGGCUGGAAAGUGUACUGUCAUCUGAACCAGAAGUUCCCCCUUUUUUUUUUCUAACCUCCCUUGAGAAUGGUGUCCAUGGUUUGUGUCUGACUGCAUUCCCAGGAGACAACACAAGCUCUUUGUACAGCAUGAAUUGGCAAUGCCGUGCAGCUCUCCAGGACACUGCAGAGAGGAGAGAGAACCAUCAGAGAAAAUUACAUCAACUGAGCUGCAGAGCACGAAUGAUAGAGCCAGCAGGGCCCAGUGCACCUUCCUUUAUGCCAUCAUGAUGCUAUUUGACAGAAACCAGCUGCUCUGGUCAUGUUCCUCACACUGUACCCAGCCCUGCCACCAGAACACGCAGACAAGACCCAAGUGUCUGAUGCUCUUAUGCUUUGUUUUGUUUUCAGCAAUUUCAUAUACUUAUGUAGAUUGAUGUUCUUGUAAUUAAAACAAAGAAUCACU